rnacentral:rRNA from 1 species
CUGACUGCUAUCGGAUUGAUACUAAGCCAUGCGAGUCAUUGUAGUAAUACAAGGCAGACGGCUCAGUAACGCGUAGUCAACCUACCCUAUGGACGAGGAUAAUCUCGGGAAACUGAGAAUAAUACUCGAUAGACCAUUAUGCCUGGAACGGUUUAUGGUUAAAAUGAUUCGUCGCCAUAGGAUGGACUGCGGCCUAUCAGCUUGUUGGUGAGGUAAUGGCCCACCAAGGCGAUUACAGGUACGGGCUCUGAGAGGAGAAGCCCGGAGAUGGGUACUGAGACAAGGACCCAGGCCCUAUGGGGCGCAGCAGGCGAGAAAACUUUGCAAUGUGCGAAAGCACGACAAGGCUAGUCCGAGUGAUUUCUGCUAAAGAAAUCUUUUGCAAGUUAUAAAACCACUAGUGAAUAAGGGGUGGGCAAGUUCUGGUGUUAGCCGCCGCGGUAAAACCAGCACCUCAAGUGGUCAGGAUGAUUAUUGGGCCUAAAGCAUCCGUAGCCUGCUCUGUUAGUUUUCGGUUAAAUCCAUGUGCUCAACACAUGGGCUGCCGAAAAUACUGCAGGGCUAGGGAGUGGGAGAGGUAGACGGUACUCAGUAGGAAGGGGUAAAAUCCUUUGAUCUAUUGAUGACCACCUGUGGCGAAGGCGGUCUACCAGAACACGUUCGACGGUGAGGGAUGAAAGCUGGGGGAGCAAACCGGAUUAGAUACCCGGGUAGUCCCAGCUGUAAACGAUGCAGACUCGAUGAUGCAUUGGCUUAUUGCCAAUGCAGUGUCGCAGGGAAGCCGUUAAGUCUGCCGCCUGGGAAGUACGUACGCAAGUAUGAAACUUAAAGGAAUUGGCGGGGGAGCACCACAAGGGGUGAAGCCUGCGG